UAGGGAAUAUUAGUAAUGGGCGAAAGCCUGAACUAGCAACGCCGCGUGUGCGAAGAAGGCCUUCGGGUUGUAAAGCACUUUUUGAGAGGAUGAGGAGGGACGGUACCCUCAGAAUAAGUCUCGGCUAACUACGUGCCAGCAGCCGCGGUAACACGUAGGAGGCAAACGUUAUCCGGAUUUACUGGGCGUAAAGCGCGUGUAGGUGGUUUGGUAAGUAGGGCGUGAAAGCUCCUGGCUCAACUGGGAGAGGCCGUUCUAAACUGCCGAACUAGAGGAUGGUAGAGGGAGGUGGAAUUCCGGGUGUAGCGGUGGAAUGCGCAGAUAUCCGGAGGAACACCAGUGGCGAAAGCGGCCUCCUGGACCAUUCCUGACACUCAGACGCGAAAGCUAGGGUAGCAAACGG
rnacentral:rRNA from 1 species